ensembl:lncRNA
GAAGAGUUGAAAGUCCAAGCAGCCAUGCUGGGGGCCUCGCAGUUACAUCUGGAGCCUGGGCGGACGGGAGGUUGAACUGAAGGCCAGGCCGGCAGUGAGGGAGAGUCUGGCCUCCCCAGCUCCAGUCUCUGCUUUGGCAGACGGGGACACUGAGGCCCCCAGGGCCAGGUGCAGAGCUUGGGUGUUUUCCAUCACGUGUGUCAACCUUCCCGAUAACCGCAUUUCCUGACCCAGAGGACAUUCUGCGUGUGGGACAGGGCUCACCGGAAGUUGCGGCUGAGAGCAGCGGGAAGCCGAGUGCAGGCUGCUCGGUCCUUCCUCUUGCUUUGUUCUCGUCCCUUCUCCCCCUCCUUCUUUCUUUCCUUUCUCUUUCUCUUUUUCACUGUGUUUUGCUUUCUUUGUCCCAUGCGAACUUCCCCGUUUGUAGCUCGCUCCCUCCUAAGGGUCACGGUGCACACCCUCUGGAACCCAAGGAGCACAGACCGACGGGCUGGCCACCAGCAAGGGCACAGGAGAGGGCAUGGGGGUGAGGGCCGCCCGCUGGGUGGCAGAGGAGGGGUGUAGGUGCAAGGGGCAGGUGCUCCUGGAAGCACAGCUCUGCACCCUCGCCUCAGCCCAGGGAACCUUAGGAGGCUCCUGUAGAGGCUGGGAAGCCUCGCUGAGUGGGAAGAAAGACCCGAAGAAAGGCAGGCGGCCACGACCGGAGCCGCGGCAGUGGCGCCUCUUUGGCACAAGAUGGCACUCUUCAGCUUUGAAACGAGGAGCUGCUCGGCGCAGAAGAUGGGACGUUCCUCCUGCCCCAGGGAGGCUGCAGGAGGAGGGAGGCAAGUUGGAGGCCCCCUUCCUGGCGCCCACAGUGUGCUGGUCCCACCUCGCUCCCCGCCGUACCCCCCUCCCCCGUCCCCAGCUCUCAGAGCCGGCUGCUAUGAAGCCCAGGAAUUGCUGGUGUGGUCCUCACAGGCCCAGCGCCGUUGCUCGCCUGGGCUUUGUUCCACGAAUGGGGAAGGAGGCGGCCGCACAGGAGCAAAGCCCGCUGAGCCGCUCAGAUCACCAUCAGCCCAGCCAGGACACACGGGUGUGCCGAGGGAGGGGACUGUCAGAGGGAAGGCUCCCGAGGACAGAGUGGAAAGGUGAAGAUCCUGGUGCGACCUGUUGUAGGAAGAAGGUGGACUUCCUGACCGUGUGACACUUCCUGUCUGUUUUUUGUACCCAGGACUGUGCCCUUCCUGCAGUUGUACCAAGAGGUCACGCGGCUUCCGGUCACGGCUCACAGAUCCACGCUCCUGCGCCGGCAGGGACCUGACAGACAAACGCGCUGCCCCCGGAAUUUAAAAAUCCUAGUAAGUGGUUUGUUACAACCGCGGGUGUCACGUCACCACGCUGCUUGUGGCGGAGCCGGGGUCCUCUAGGAGUCGCUUAUUGAGGGCACUGAGGGGACCCACGCCCCCUUCCUGCCCGGGCCGGGGUUCGAGUCCCAGCCGCGGGGACUCCAUUGGACGGCGCCGCACCUGGUCCCGAAGGCACCGGCUGGCCAUUUUUUUUUUAAGUCUCAC